AUCUUCGGGGCAGGGCGCAAUUCCCUACCGGCGGUACAGUCCGCGACCACCUUUAAGGUGAAUGAACCGGUGCAAUUCCGGUACCGACAGUUACAGUCUGGAUGAGAGAAGAU
rnacentral:ncRNA from 1 species